rnacentral:tRNA from 1 species
GGGAGGCUCACAGAGCACCUGACUUGCAAUCAGAGGGUCCUGGGUUCGAGUCCCAGCGAGCUCACCA